rnacentral:rRNA from 1 species
UACGUAGGUGACAAGCGUUGUCCGGAUUUACUGGGCGUAAAGAGCGCGCAGGCGGUCGUUCAAGUCGAGUGUGAAAGCCCCCGGCUCAACUGGGGAGGGUCACUCGAUACUGAUCGACUCGAAGGCAGGAGAGGGUAGUGGAAUUCCCGGUGUAGUGGUGAAAUGCGCAGAUAUCAGGAGGAACACCGGUGGCGAAGGCGGGUCUCUGGGCCGUAACUGACGCUGAGGAGCGAAAGCAUGGGGAGCGAACAGG